GGGUGAUGGAAAAAAUACACAGCUCACUACAGCUUCUGCAGAAGAUGUGUUUCAGACUAACUCUGUGCUUCCAUUUUUUCCAGCUUAAAGCUGGAAGGAACCUGCUGGGUCACAGACACAAGCCUCCCUCGAGUGCAUAAACCCAUGUCACAGAGCCAGGGGAGACCACACAGCAUCAAUUCCGGUGUUGCACAGGCCAAAGCCCACAGCUCUUGCCAACAUCCUCUAGCAAAUCCAUUGUAGAAAAGGCAAGAGACCACUUUAAACUAUUUAAUGCCACAAAAUGAGCAAAGGAAAACUCAAAGAGCAUGAACGUGUCUCCCUGUAAUCCAUGCAACAGCAGGGAACAGACUGUGUGAAAAACAGAGACAGUCUCUCAAAAUGAAUUAUGCUCAACCCUCAGAAGACAAAAAAAAAUAUUCCACUACUUUCUGGACACAAAGCAAGAAACUUCAGCCUCACAAAUACAUCAGGAAAUGCCAGAAAAAUCAAAUGUCUGAAAAAUGUAACCAAAAGCAACGCACAAGGUGGAGUUGUAGAAAGCUUUUGAAACUUGCAUAGGCAAGGAGAUGGUGACCUGUACCCAAAAAGACCUCUGGGGCAGGAACUUAACACUUAUACAUUUUUAUAGAGAGCUAAG